GUCAAAUACUCACAACUAAAGCCGAGGGCUUGUAAAAGCUCUAUUUGACUAGCCUGAGUGCUUCAAGCACUACGUUAUCCACAAAUGUAUAGGCACCAUGAGAUACGAGUCCAAGUCUCAUGCACUGCG
rnacentral:sRNA from 23 species